rnacentral:misc_RNA from 1 species
AGGUAUCUGCGGUGAGUGUAAUUGCUGUGGGAAGGAAGGAGAGCCACAGUGCUGUGAAUGCUGGAUUGGAUUUGCUGAAUGCUGCAACUGUUGUCGAUCACCCAACAUUGAGUCAUGUUUGGAUUCGGUGUGCCCUCAGAGAAGGAAAUGCUGUCAGAGCAUGGACUUUGCUGAUAUUGUGACAUGUCAGUGCUGUGGUGAAGGAGGAUGCUGCGGUGAAAAUGAACAAUGUUGUGAUUGUGGAAACUGUGGCUGCAACUGCAAUUGUAACUGCGAUGAAUUGAACUGCUUAUGCUGUCAGAUCAGUCUCAAAGAUGCAGCUCCACCACUAGAUGAUGACUAAAAAUCAAACACACAAAACUAAUAAUUUUAUGGUGUUCAAUAAAAAAAA